AUGGACAUGGAGCAGUACGUCGUUUUCCGAAACAAUAAAAGAGUGUGUCUCAGGGAAGAAGACAUGACUGCAGAAAAACUUAGUCGCAUAUUUCAGGUCUCAACUCGUAGUCUGUACUUGACUAACGAUGCAAAUGUGGCCUUGUUUCCGGGACCAUCUGGAGUGUUCAGCUCAUUCGACCUUACUGCAAGAGCCCAUUAUGAGGUUAACGGUGAGGAGGAGGAAACCUCAUCAUCAGUUUCAAAUAACACGGGCCAACGUUUUGCAUUCAUGCGAACUCCUGCAACUGCUUCAGCCCCCCCCAGAGCCACUGUCCCCAGAGCCACUGUCUCUAAAACAUUUCAAAGAUCAAUGUACCUUGCUGAGGUGGUUGGUGGGAGGUUGAGUCCCAGCAGAAUGGUGGUGGUCCGGUUUUUAGAAUGUGAGGCUACCCUUCAGGGGAUCAUCGAAAAAGUGCAAGAUGCCAUUGGAAAUCAUGACCCCAUGGUAUUGACUGAUGCACAGGGUAAUGCAAUUUUGGAGUCCGAAGGAACAACAGGU
rnacentral:lncRNA from 15 species